rnacentral:rRNA from 1 species
UACGUAGGGGGCGAGCGUUGUCCGGAAUUAUUGGGCGUAAAGGGCUCGUAGGCGGUUUGUCGCGUUGUUCGUGAAAACCGGGGGCUUAACCCUCGGCGUGCGGGCGAUACGGGCAGACUUGAGUACUGCAGGGGAGACUGGAAUUCCUGGUGUAGCGGUGGAAUGCGCAGAUAUCAGGUCGGAACACCCGUAGCGAAGGCGGCGACGUCUGGGCCGGAACUGACGCUGAGGAAGCGAAAGGCUAGGGGGAGCAAACGGG